rnacentral:rRNA from 1 species
GACGAACGCUGGCGGCGUGCCUAAUACAUGCAAGUAGAACGCUGAAGCGAGGAGCUUGCUCUUCUUGGAUGAGUUGCGAACGGGUGAGUAACGCGUAGGUAACCUGCCUUGUAGCGGGGGAUAACUAUUGGAAACGAUAGCUAAUACCGCAUAACAAUGGAUGACACAUGUCAUUUAUUUGAAAGGGGCAAUUGCUCCACUACAAGAUGGACCUGCGUUGUAUUAGCUAGUAGGUGAGGUAAUGGCUCACCUAGGCGACGAUACAUAGCCGACCUGAGAGGGUGAUCGGCCACACUGGGACUGAGACACGGCCCAGACUCCUACGGGAGGCAGCAGUAGGGAAUCUUCGGCAAUGGGGGCAACCCUGACCGAGCAACGCCGCGUGAGUGAAGAAGGGUGUCGGAUCGUAAAGCUCUGUUGUAAGUCAAGAACGGGUGUGAGAGUGGAAAGUUCACACUGUGACGGUAGCUGACCAGAAAGGGACGGCUAACUACGUG